GGUAACGUUUGGUGAGCCAUGGACAAAAGGGAGCUCAACAAAGCAGGGAAUUUGGCAAACACUACCACUGGGACGGUGGACAAUCAGCAACAUGAUCAGGGAACAGCUACCACAUCAAAACCAGAUAAAACCUCCAAAAACUGGUUUCUGAGACCCGGCGCACAUUCGCAUUUACUGGGUAUUGGUGAGCUUUCACCUCAGAAUUCAACCACAAAGUGAGGAAGGACUUGACGAGACGCAGGAAAAAUGGGUUGUUUUUUUGCUCUGCUGUAUGGAGCUUUCAAUGAGGCCGCAGUCAUAUAACUGAAG